rnacentral:rRNA from 1 species
UCAUUCGCCCGGGUACAACGAGCCCCAGCUUAAAACCCAAAGGACUUGGCGGUGCUUUAGACCCCCCUAGAGGAGCCUGUUCUAGAAUCGAUUCUCCCCGUUCAACCUCACCCACUCUUGUUCUUCCCGCCUGUAUACCGCCGUCGUCAGCUUACCCUGUGAAGGUGUAAUAGUAAGCACAAUUGGCACAGCCCAAAAAGUCAGGUCAAGGUGCAGCGUAUGAGUGGGGAAGAAAUGGGCUACAUUUGCUGACUCAGCAAAUACGGAUGUUGCACUGAAAUAAGCAUCUGAAGGAGGAUUUAGUAGUAAGGAAAAGACAGAGAGCUUCCUGAAAUCGGCCCUGAGCGCG